GAAAAUAAACACCCUAAUGAAAACCAUGUUCGCCUAUUUUCUAAGCAAAUUUUCAACUGAAUAAUCUGCGAUGGCACACAAAAUAACACAUAUAUACUUCUCAUACAAUUAUUUAUAAAAUAUUCUUAUUUUUUUUAAUUGUAGAUAUCCUGCUUUCUGGUUGAUACCGCAACCAAUAUUCAAAACACUGGUUUUUACACCUGAUGAACAUGAGAUUCUUUUAACAGUUAAAACUAACCAUACAAUUACAGCAACGAGGAGACAGAAAAGACGGGAUAGCUGUCCACAAAUUUCUACAUUUUGAUCUGAUUUCUCCACCUUAAAAAAUAAAAAAAAAAUAUAAUUUGAAAAAAUAACUUAACUAUUACAUAGUCUCCUUCGUGUAUGUCAUCAUGCAUAAAUAACAAAAACUCUUCGUAUGAUCAAUAUUCAUGCAAAGUUUUUUUAAGAUUUUACAUGAUAUUUAGAAUGAUAUUUUAGUUAGUUAUUUUAUCUAAUAAAAU
rnacentral:lncRNA from 1 species